GCCCUUAUAGCUUAGUGGUUAGAGUAUUGCACUUGUACGACGUACUGCAAGUAGAUUACGCAAUGCAAAGGUCCCCAGUUCAACUCUGGGUGAGGGCA